AUUCAGUGUUAAGGGGAGGGUAAUGAUAUACACAAAUGUUUCCAACUGUAUUAUAUUGCUACGAUUGCUUUGUGUACAUGUUGGUUGGUGUACAAGCAUCAAAGUACCCGUGGAAGUGUUGAUUCAUCGAAAAGUCAUGUCCUAGGUGUUCUUAGUUCCUUAUUCCAAACAGGUGGAACAAGUGCAGGAGUGACUAUGUGACCGUAAACCUGGGGACAACACCUUCCUCCUAGGCAAGUAAGCACACAGAUGGCAUAAUUACCAAAUAAUAAUGGGUUAUAGCUGAAGUCUCGACUACUCCCUUUAAACAUUAAGCAACCCAAACCCAUCCCUCCGAAUAAACUGUCAACGUGCCAGUAAACACCAGAGAGACUUCCAAAAAA